GGUUCGUUGCACAAACUGCGCAGGGUGGGCUGGUGCGUGUGCUCGUGGGCCCCUGGCUGACCGAUGCAUAGUGCGCACGUCGUGCGUGCCUCAUCUCUGCCUCACGAGCGUGCUUUAGUUUAAUUUUCUCUCUGCCCAAUCUCCAUCGUCCUGCUACUACCGCCGCCGUCGGUGCUGCCUCCGCCUCCGCCUCGUCCUCUUGGUUUCUGAUGCUGCCGCUCCGAGGAAGGUUGCCGCGCCGCUGGUGCUUAGAUUCAUGGAGGGGAACAGCAGCCACACCAUGUGGCAUGCCUCGCCGUGCCGCAUGGUGGCCGAGAUGCGGCCGCCCCAUGUGCCUGCGCCGUCUCAUUGUCUUCAUCGAUAGGAGGCAUCUCUGCCGGCCUCACCCCAUCACCAUCGCCUCCCUUCCCUACGAGAGCGACGGAUCCAAUAGCUUUAGCUCAGAUCGCUUCCAGGUGCUUGUGGCCACCGCCCAACAUGCGCUCACUUGCUGACCUUGAAUUCUAGCCGCAACGGAUCGUCCAUGAGUGCAGCUUCUACUCCUGGCGUCCAGGAGUGUGGUUACGUUUGCUUCUUCUAAACACACUGCCAGUCUCUCACAAUGGAAGAGAUCCUGUUAUGUAGUCUUACAUAAUGGAAAAGAGAAGAUGAUUUUAUGUCAAUUGGACUCUACAGGGAUGGAAAUGAAAACACCAGAGUGAACUCUUUUUCCUCGCUUAAGACAUUAAUUCAUACGACAUCUCAUCAUGUUAUUAUGAUUUUAUACCCUUAUGCUCUUGACAAUAGUUUCUUAGCUUUCCAAAAUUCGGAAGUAAUUUACCUUCCCCUCACAUUUUAAUUGAUUUUGUGCAGACUAAUUUACCUUCCCCUCACAUUGAUGUCUUUGUCAUGUCAUGUUCCACAACGUAUAAUUUCUAUCUUUGCGUGUUAUGAUAGCUCAUCAAGAUAUGAAAUACCUAAAUUUGUCUUGAAAUUAUUUGCUUAGCAAAGCUUUCUUUUAGUAUCAAUGUAUUUUGCAUAGCAUUUCAAUGCACACAGUCCUUUUUACUUAAAUAUGAGCAAGGACAGAGCCAAAACUAGAAUUCAAUUUGUAUUUACUUGGCAUAUGUGAAAUGAUACAAUGUUUAUUUACUCAUUUUUAUUUUACUUGGCAUAUGUGCCCUUUCACUGAUAAAUCUCAAUUUCUUAAAUUUCAUUUUUCGUACCAUUGUAACUCUCUUGGUGCUAAUAGAUGUGCUAUUCGGUCGCCAUGAUGUUGCAGUUACCAAGUAGCCUUGCAAUAAGAGGAUUGAACUAUUCGAUGCUAGUAAUGACCAGAAAUGUGAAAUCAACAACUCAUUCAUUCUGGAAUAAAACAAAUGGACCAAACAGACCAAGCUAUUGAGCAUUCGAAUACGGUGCACUGCAAACUUACACUCUCUUUUGUUGUUCAUUCUUUCAUAAGGUAUUUAUAUAGAGGAAAUUAGGUGCUCCUCUACCUCUCCCUCUCACUCGCAUUUUGAUUGCCUAAUACGUCGAUUUUCUAAAGAUGAUAUGUGCAGCGCCGUCCUGGUUUUAGUUUGAGCAUGCUUGUCUCCAUGGGCCUCUCUAUUUAGGUGUGGAUCUUGACUCAUAGCAACACGAACUUGGAUAUGCUUCUUUUCUCCAUGGGAUCUUUCAAAAAUGAAAAAACAAACCCAGGAAUAAGACUUGGGCAUCAGUUUAAAUAAUGGUUCCCUGCACAUCAGUUUAUUUCCUUGCAUUGGUUCUUUAUGUUAUAAGUAACACCUUUCCUAUUUUGUCAAAGAAAGAAUGGACUCAUUCAUGGACUUCCACCAUAUAUAUUAACACUGGUAUGCUGAUCAACCCAGUAAUCCUCUAAUCCUAAAUUAUUUUCCGAAAAACACUAUGUUUUUCUCUAUAUCAAGGUAGUACUAUGUCAAACUGAUGCUAUUUGGAAGUUCAAACUGAUUUUGUGUUCAUAUUUAUUUAUUGCACGAUUCAUCUGUGUAAAACCAAGAAGAUGCCUCUAAAUUUUUUGUGUAUUUCUGAAAUAUGUUCUUUUUAUCGUCAUCAGAUACAAAAAUUCCGUUUCAUGCUUAUUCCUAAUUUAUUAUUUUCUAAAGCUGUGAAGAAUUGUAGUAGGACUAUGAUUCUCACUUUUUGUGCAUGGAUAUGCAGAUUGACAUUCAAGUUGCUCCAGGAUUUCGGAUUCCUUGCUAAUGAAUAGACAGGUGCAUAAAGUGACAAAUACCCAAUCUGAUUGAUAAGCUGGCUGUCCAUGUAAGCAUCAUAGUGUAUAAGUGGUGAGGAAGUGAAAGCAUCUGUGAGUGCAAGUAGAUAUAUUUUGUCAACCUUUUUUUGGUUACCAAACUCUGGUAUGUAAGGUAUGAGAGGACCAUGUAAAGGUUCUUUUAAAAACGAUUUUCAUUAUGC